UAUAACGAGCGUGGCGACGACUGUCUGGUAUUUUUUUUUACAUUCGCGAGUUUGCUUGUGUACUCGUCAAGUUGUGUCAACUUGUCACCCGAUCACCGCGAGUGAUCACAGAUUGCAAAGUCAGACUCAGAGUGAGACAAAAUCAAGUACACACAUACCAUCAGAAGUUAUUGCUCAAAGUUCUAAGGAACCAGUGGGAAAACUUUUUGUUGAUAAAGACAUUUUCAGCGAGAACUUUUCAAAUGCUUUUAAGCAGAGUGUGUUAGACAUACAUAAUGACAGUAUAAAUAAGUUAUUCAAAUCUUCUGUUUGUGAAAUUGCAAAGUUGUGGAGAUUAAUUCUGUGGUCAAAUUAUUUUUUUAAGAAUUGUUUUUGUCUUUGUUUUCUGCGGACAUUAACCUGUGUUUAUCCCAAGAUCGCGAAUCAUUUUUUAAUCAUUUGCAUCGUGUACGUGUUUGCAUUGAUACUGAAAAACAGAUACAUGAACUAUUUUCAGGCCAAGGAUGUUUAGGCAGUGACUCUGACGUAAAUGAAUUUGGGCAGUAAUUACUUUUAGGCUUGGUUGAACAAUUGCUGAAUUUACAAGUUGCUUAUUAUAAACAAAUUUCCACCACUCAGCAAUCAGAAUUUUCAAAUUCAGAUCAAUCCAUUUUAUUCUAUAUAUCUGGGUAUAUUAUCAGAGCACUUCGCAAACGCUACAUUAAACUUAAGUCUGAAGUUAAGGACAGUAAAUUAGCUUGUGUUACUAAGCUACAGUGCAAGUCUGACCGAUGCUCCUUUCUUGACAAAUUCAAAGAUUGUGGUGGCCUUAUUUUUCCCAGUGGCAGCUUUUAUUUACUUGUUCGAGAACUUGAAAAUGUGGUGCGCUGCAAUGUUGACUUGAAUCAUCUGUCUUCAAAUUCACUAAACUGUCUGCACCUUAAAGAGAAAAUCAUAGAGUCUUUUAUGGUGAAAUAUUAUGUCAAAGACAUCUUCUCAACUCAGGACAGUGGUACUCAUGUACAUGUGUGUGUGUUGGAGGAUAUAGUUUCGUUAUUCCUACGGGUUCGAGGUUUUUGCUGUGGUGAGAGUAGAGCGCAACAAGUUAGCGUUGUCGCAAAAACAUAAAAAGAAAAUGAAACCGUCAGCUGGCCUGAGAAAGUCCAUCAUGCCAAGAUCAUGACUGAGUAUGUAGCGCAGCAUUUUUUGUAGAUACUUGUGUACCAUUUUUUCACUGGCAUGCAGAUUUUUCUUUUUAAUUUACUAGGUAAAUGCAUGACAAAAUAUUUCUUCUACGAAAAGUUUGAUAUGAAUUUAUAUAUAUAACACGAACAGAAAAUAUGGUACACGUAUACGUAUCUAUAUAUAUAUAUAUAUAGGUAAGCAUUUUUGUGUACAAAUGAAGCACUUGAUCAGCUGUUUGUAAAUAAUGUAUAUAAAGUAACCGGUAUCAUAAUUAGUAUAUUAAUUCAUCUUUAAUUUACUGCCGGAGUUGAAUGGUUUAAUAUCAUCAAUUUAUACAUAUCAUAAAAGGAUAUAUAUGUAUUUUACAAAUUUACUCUUUGACUUAUUUCACUCCUCCAUUUACAUAAUGCUCCAUAUUGCAAUUGUAGUAUCGACCCAGAAAUAAUUAAAGAAAAAAAGAAACACACAACAUAUUAUUUUAGUGAAAAACAUUAAACCUUUUCCAAGAGUUCAUGACAAUGUGUAAUCAAUGAUUUCAAAUGUUCUUAUAUUUGACAAUGCAUACAAUGUUGUAGAAUUUUUAAGCUGACAGUUUAACCACUCUUCAAUUUUUUGUUUUUACAAAAGAAAAAAAGUAAGAGGAAUUUCGAAUUCCAAAAUGAAUAGAUGUCACUAUUAUGAAUUUCCAUUCAUUUGCAUAUAAAAGAGGCAUUUUCCCAAUCUAUUCAAACAUUAAUGAAAAGGAAUCAUGAAAAUGAACUGUUUGUUCGAGCCUUGCUAUUUGUCAGCAUGCAUAUGCAUAACAUCUUAAAUCAAGAUUCUAUGAAAUUAUUCUUUCAAUCCAAGCUCAUCACAUAUAUCAACAAGUACGUAAUCAUAAUAUACAUAGCCCGAGUUAUAUAUAUAUAUUUAUGUGUUUAAGUUGAAGUCUGUUCAUGAUCACAUUGGUGUUGAAUCAUUGAAGUCAUAUCAAAAUCCAGUAAUUAUAUCAAAUAAACUAGACUACUACUACUUAUGCCACCACAACCACAUGACUAACUACCAUAAUCUUUCAUAAUGACCAGGAUAUGGCAUCAAGAUUGUCAUGUUGUACAUACUAUUUAUAUUGAAACACAUUAAAUACUUUCUAAAUCUA